rnacentral:rRNA from 1 species
CUUUUCCGCUGACGAGUGGCGCACGGGUGCGCAACGCGUAUAGAACCUACCCUGUACAGGGGGAUAGCCCGGAGAAAUCCGGAUUAAUACCCCGUGGUAAUUAGAAUCGGCAUCGGUUUUAAUUUAAAGUUUCGGCGGUACAGGAUGGCUAUGCGUCCUAUUAGUUAGAUGGUGAGGUAACGGCUCACCAUGGCAUCGAUAGGUAGGGGCCCUGAGAGGGGGACCCCCCACACUGGUACUGAGACACGGACCAG